rnacentral:rRNA from 1 species
CCAGACUCCUACGGGAGGCAGCAGUGGGGAAUAUUGCACAAUGGGGGAAACCCUGAUGCAGCAACGCCGCGUGAGUGAAGAAGUCAUUCGUGAUGUAAAGCUCUAUCAGCAGGGAAGAAAAUGACGGUACCUGACUAAGAAGCCCCGGCUAACUACGUGCCAGCAGCCGCGGUAAUACGGAGGAUGCGAGCGUUAUCCGGAUUUAUUGGGUUUAAAGGGUGCGCAGGCGGAUUUUUAAGUCAGCGGUCAAAUCGUGGGGCUCAACCCCAUCCAGCCGUUGAAACUGGGGAUCUAGAGUGUGCGAGAGGUAUGCGGAAUGCGUGGUGUAGCGGUGAAAUGCAUAGAUAUCACGCAGAACUCCGAUUGCGAAGGCAGCAUACCGGCGCCCGACUGACGCUGAGGCACGAAAGCGUGGGUAUCGAACAGGAUUAGAUACCCCCGUAC